rnacentral:rRNA from 1 species
UGCAGUUAAAAAGCUCGUAGUUGAAUUUCUAGUCAACCGUUAGCUGGCUUCACAGUCGUUAACGAUUGCCUAUCCGACAUUGAACUAUAAUGGUUAUUAAGUUAACCUUAUAGCGAACUGUCAUUUUACUUUGAAAAAAUUAGAGUGUUUCAGGCAGGCAAUUGCCCGAAUAUCUUAGCAUGGAAUAAUGGAAUAGGACUUUGGUUCAUUUGAUUGGUUAUUGAAUCAGAGUAAUGAUUAAUAGGGACAGUUGGGGGCAUUAGUAUUUAAUUGUCAGAGGUGAAAUUCUUGGAUUUAUUAAAGACUAACUUAUGCGAAAGCAUUUGCCAAGGAUGUUU